rnacentral:rRNA from 1 species
UACGUAGGGUGCGAGCGUUUGUCCGGAAUUAUUGGGCGUAAAGGGCUCGUAGGCGGUUUGUCGCGUCGGGAGUGAAAACACCGGGCUUAACUCGGUGCUUGCUUUCGAUACGGGCAGACUAGAGGUAUGCAGGGGGAGAACGGAAUUCCUGGUGUAGCGGUGAAAUGCGUAGAUAUCGAGAGGAACACCUGCGGCGAAGGCGGGUUGCUGGGCCGACACUGACGCUGAUGCGCGAAAGCCAGGGGAGCGAACGGG